UCCCUGGUGGUCCAGUGGUUAAGACUCUGUGCUCCCAAUGCGGGGGGCCUGGGUUCGAUCCCAGGUCAGAGAA
rfam:TPA: Bos taurus chromosome 29, whole genome shotgun sequence.